CCCAAGUGAUUCUGUGUUAAUUGAUGGAUUAUUGUUUCUCUUGUUUGUGUUGUUGUCGUUGAUAAAUGUUUUGUUCUUCAGACUAGCAUGCUUAGCAGAUUAGCUGUACUAGUUACAUACAUCCUCCGGAGACACUGCUGAUGUCUGCUCCUUCCUUCUAAGAGUUGAUGAAAGAAUUGAAUCAUGCGAUUGGUUACAAAUUCAGACAGACAUGUAACAGGAAAAGGUCUGAAAUAGAGAACAAGAGGACAGAAGCGGGAAGCGGCUGUAAAGUGGAGAGAUAUGUCAAAGAGAAAAGAAGGAUGGAAUAUUAAAGAAGGGUUGCAAGGAGGGGAAAAAAAGGCAAAUCCUUAGACGUUCAGCUUCUGUCACACGGAUUAUUUAUUUUUUACAUCAUAGCAUGGAAGGCUGGUGCAACACCCUGGUGCAAAUCUCAGUCUAAUGGACAUGCUAUACAUGUACAGUAGGUAUCCAUCCAGGAUAAAAACUCGAUGUGGAAAGCAGCCUAUGAUGUGCAAACAAAUCAACGAUGGACAAAACAAAGCCACGGGCUGGUGAUGACAGCAGAUGAUUGACGGCUCAGCGAGGGAGUUCAAACUUGAGGUGCAGAGACGGAGCGAUUGGCACGACAUCUCUCCCGCUUCAUUAUCUUCUACUAACACGCUGAGCGAAGGCAGGAUCACGCCCACUUCUGGAGCUCUUUUACUCCUAAUGAGAGCACAGGCUGCAUGAACAAUUUGCAAUAUUGACUACAUUUUCAGUACAAUUACAAAGGAGAAGGACUCGGAAAAGACAAGGGAGGGCUUGGAAGCGAGAAGAAAAAAAAUAAAAUUGCCACUUAAUUUGAUGUUUGUUUGUUUGUUUAGUGAGUGAACAACUAUAGCACACAAAUAUAAUAUCAUUUGGAGUUUAUCAUGUGCCUCAAUACAAUGCUCUUAUUUAGCGAGAAAUACCUAAUAACAAUAUUCUGUU